GACGAACGCUGGCGGCGUGCUUAACACAUGCAAGUCGAACGGUAAGGCCCCAGCUUGCUGGGGUACACGAGUGGCGAACGGGUGAGUAACACGUGGGUGACCUGCCCCGCACUUCGGGAUAAGCCUGGGAAACUGGGUCUAAUACCGGAUAGGACCGCACCGUGAGGGUGUGGUGGAAAGUUUUUCGGUGUGGGAUGGGCCCGCGGCCUAUCAGCUUGUUGGUGGGGUAAUGGCCUACCGAGGCGGCGACGGGUAGCCGGCCUGAGAGGGUGGACGGCCACAUUGGGACUGAGACACGGCCCAGACUCCUACGGGAGGCAGCAGUGGGGAAUAUUGCACAAUGGGCGGAAGCCUGAUGCAGCGACGCCGCGUGGGGGAUGACGGCCUUCGGGUUGUAAACUCCUUUCACCAUCGACGAAGGUUUUCUGACGGUAGAUGGAGAAGAAGCACCGGCUAACUACGUG
rnacentral:rRNA from 1 species